CUUCAUCACUAGCCUUUUAUUAUUAACACUUAGAACUAAUUAACAUUAUUCAUUAUGACUCAUUAAUACAGCCUUGGAUCAUGUAUAGGCGGUGUGUGUGUGUGUGUGUGUGUGUGUGUGUGACGAGCUUGUUGAAACGAAACAGCUUCACAAAUCUGCUUCGUUCUCGUUCAAACAAGCAUUCAUCUUUACAUAUCUAGUUUCUUCCCUUCUCUAACUAUAUAUUUUACCAGCUAUUCAGAGACACAACGUCAACACAAGGACAGGACGAACAACGCCUUGCUAGCCUAUUAAUCCUAGCCUAUGACAUACUUUUUUUUCUCCUAGUACAAUCUGCCCCCCUCGCUCUCUCCCUCUCUCUCUCUCUCCCACGAAAACUAUAUGAUAAGUUCUUACAAUGCUUUCCUACUGACAAGGGACGUUUUAUUAUGGAAAAGACUGUGUUUAAUAUUAAAUCGAUGUGUGUAUGUACCCUAAUGCACAUAUUACAAGCUCCCUUCCAUGGCCGUUCCCUUGAGGUCAGUUCCAACAGUGUCACAAACUCUCCCUUUCCCAGCCAUUCCCUUUGAGGUCAGUUUCAACAGUGUCACAAACUCUCCCUUUCCCAGCCAUUCCCUUUGAGGUCAGUUUCAACAGUGUCACAAACUCUCCCUUUCCCAGCCAUUCCCUUUGAGGUCAGUUUCAACAGUGUCACAAACUCUCCCUUUCCCAGCCAUUCCCUUUGAGGUCAGUUCCAACAGUGUCACAAACUCUCCCUUUCCCAGCCAUUCCCUUUGAGGUCAGUUCCAACAGUGUCACAAACUCUCCCUUUCCCAGCCAUUCCCUUUGAGGUCAGUUUCAACAGUGUCACAAACUCUCCCUUUCCCAGCCAUUCCCUUUGAGGUCAGUUUCAACAGUGUCACAAACUCUCCCUUUCCCAGCCAUUCCCUUUGAGGUCAGUUUCAACAGUGUCACAAACUCUCCCUUUCCCAGCCAUUCCCUUUGAGGUCAGUUUCAACAGUGUCACAAACUCUCCCUUUCCCAGCCAUUCCCUUUGAGGUCAGUUUCAACAGUGUCACAAACUCUCCCUUUCCCAGCCGUUCCCUUUGAGGUCAGUUCCAACAGUGUCACAAACUCUCCCUUUCCCAGCCAUUCCCUUUGAGGUCAGUUCCAACAGUGUCACAAACUCUCCCUUUCCCAGCCAUUCCCUUUGAGGUCAGUUUCAACAGUGUCACAAACUCUCCCUUUCCCAGCCAUUCCCUUUGAGGUCAGUUUCAACAGUGUCACAAACUCUCCCUUUCCCAGCCAUUCCCUUUGAGGUCAGUUUCAACAGUGUCACAAACUCUCCCUUUCCCAGCCAUUCCCUUUGAGGUCAGUUCCAACAGUGUCACAAACUCUCCCUUUCCCAGCCAUUCCCUUUGAGGUCAGUUCCAACAGUGUCACAAACUCUCCCUUUCCCAGCCAUUCCCUUUGAGGUCAGUUCCAACAGUGUCACAAACUCUCCCUUUCCCAGCCAUUCCCUUUGAGGUCAGUUCCAACAGUGUCACAAACUCUCCCUUUCCCAGCCAUUCCCUUUGAGGUCAGUUCCAACAGUGUCACAAACUCUCCCUUUCCCAGCCAUU